rnacentral:rRNA from 1 species
UACGUAGGUGGCAAGCGUUGUCCGGAUUUACUGGGUGUAAGGGGCGUGCAGCCGGAGAGACAAGUCAGAUGUGAAAUCCACGGGCUCAACCCGUGAACUGCAUUUGAAACUGUUUCCCUUGAGUGUCGGAGAGGUAAUCGGAAUUCCUUGUGUAGCGGUGAAAUGCGUAGAUAUAAGGAAGAACACCAGUGGCGAAGGCGGAUUACUGGACGAUAACUGACGGUGAGGCGCGAAAGCGUGGGGAGCAAACAGG